GGGGGCGGAUGCUACCUGCAGUCGACGGUAACAGGAAACAGCUUGCUGUUUCGCUGACGAGUGGCGGACGGGUGAGUAAUGUCUGGGAAACUGCCUGAUGGAGGGGGAUAACUACUGGAAACGGUAGCUAAUACCGCAUAACGUCGCAAGACCAAAGAGGGGGACCUUCGGGCCUCUUGCCAUCGGAUGUGCCCAGAUGGGAUUAGCUAGUAGGUGGGGUAACGGCUCACCUAGGCGACGAUCCCUAGCUGGUCUGAGAGGAUGACCAGCCACACUGGAACUGAGACACGGUCCAGACUCCUACGGGAGGCAGCAGUGGGGAAUAUUGCACAAUGGGCGCAAGCCUGAUGCAGCCAUGCCGCGUGUAUGAAGAAGGCCUUCGGGUUGUAAAGUACUUUCAGCGGGGAGGAAGGGAGUAAAGUUAAUACCUUUGCUCAUUGACGUUACCCGCAGAAGAAGCACCGGCUAACUCCGUGCCAGCAGCCGCGGUAAUACGGAGGGUGCAAGCGUUAAUCGGAAUUACUGGGCGUAAAGCGCACGCAGGCGGUUUGUUAAGUCAGAUGUGAAAUCCCCGGGCUCAACCUGGGAACUGCAUCUGAU
rnacentral:rRNA from 1 species